GAUGAACGCUGGCGGCGUGCCUAAUACAUGCAAGUCGAGCGAACAGACGAGGAGCUUGCUCCUCUGACGUUAACGGCGGACGGGUGAGUAACACGUGGAUAACCUACCUAUAAGACUGGGAUAACUUCGGGAAACCGGAGCUAAUACCGGAUAAUAUAUUGAACCGCAUGGUUCAAUAGUGAAAGACGGUUUUGCUGUCACUUAUAGAUUGAUCCGCGCCGCAUUAGCUAGUUGGUAAGGUAACGGCUUACCAAGGCAACGAUGCGUAGCCGACCUGAGAGGGUGAUCGGCCACACUGGAACUGAGACACGGUCCAGACUCCUACGGGAGGCAGCAGUAGGGAAUCUUCCGCAAUGGGCGAAAGCCUGACGGAGCAACGCCGCGUGAGUGAUGAAGGUCUUCGGAUCGUAAAACGCUGUUAUUAGGGAAGAACAAAUGUGUAAGUAACUAUGCACGUCUUGACGGUACCUAAUCAGAAAGCAACGGCUAACUACGUG
rnacentral:rRNA from 1 species